rnacentral:rRNA from 1 species
UACGUAGGUCCCGAGCGUUGUCCGGAUUUAUUGGGCGUAAACCGAGCGCAGGUGGUUUAUUAAGUCUGGUGUAAAAGGCAGUGGCUCAACCAUUGUAUGCAUUGGAAACUGGUAGACUUGAGUGCAGGAGAGGAGAGUGGAAUUCCAUGUGUAGCGGUGAAAUGCGUAGAUAUAUGGAGGAACACCGGUGGCGAAAGCGGCUCUCUGGCCUGUAACUGACACUGAGGCUCGAAAGCGUGGGGAGCAAACAGG